rnacentral:misc_RNA from 1 species
AUUUUGCAAGAAAUACGUUUUUAUCGAUCUUUACAUUUUGAGAUAAUCGAUUGGUGGAAAGCAGAGAGGUUACAUCGAGCAACAUUUCAACGUAAACAAAACAAGAGAUGCGAUGGGCAGUUGGGUUGGUUUGGUACACUUUCUUCUUUGUAGAGGUCUCUUCGGCAGGCGAGCAGUCCUGGCUGCCGGGCAUGUUCGGAGAGGGAGGCUCCGAUGCAAAACAGGAAAGGUCAUGCGAUGAGAGUGCUUGCACCAUUUACAUGAUGCGAUUCCUGAACCAUCUGCUGAGAAGAACAAACUUGCAGGGUAUUCACCUGGCACCAGGUAUGGAUGUUAAAGUUCCAAUGAAGCUCUACUUCAACUCGACGUCACUGCAAAUCAUCCAGGCUUACGCUACGAAACGACGCCAUGAAUACACCUGGGCGGACCUCGACAAGGCAAUGUUCCUUUUAUUUGAGGAAAAGCUCGCCCAACAUGCUGAAGAGAUUGAAGAGACACCACGUUUUUUCCAGCCCGACAUUCGUCCCGAGUUCAUAAUCGUUGUAGUGAUCGGUUCAAUCGUGCUGAUAGCGUUCUGGCUCGUCCUGACCGGCGUCUCCCUGACCAAGACAUUUCUCCUCGUCUUCACGAUCGCUUUCAGCAUAGGUCUUGGUUUCACUUGGUGGAUUGAGAUUGAGGAAAAGCGAAUCGAGGCACUCGUCACGCUCGCAGAGAUGAACAGCAUACCUGAAGAAUGCAUUUCAACCAGUUCCACAUACAUGAACCAAAUAAAAACUUGGCUUUUCGGUUCUAGUAAAAAAUGCAAGCAAUAUCACUGGGCGCAAGUCGAUCCGAUGAAGAAGGUCGUAUUCAGCAACGUCCUGGCCAAAACAUUCACAUCGAUGUGUAUGACACCUCUGCCGAUCAUUGGCGAUGCCCUCGGCCACAUGACGGCCAACUACACGAGCCGCUUGUCCUGGCUUUCAGAAGUUAUUGCAUGGAUCAUUGUGCCAAUUGUAUCGCCUAUCUUUGCACUCAUGUGCAUCAUUUUCCUCAUGACUAUCAUCCUUGGGCGUGGCUUUAGAGUCUCGCUACCUUUCUUCUCGUACAGUUCACAGCCCGUCGUCGAGCCAAUCAGAGAGCCUGUAAAAGUGACAGCACGCCAGAAGAAAUUCCUGAAAACUGCGCGUCACAGCAUAAAAGACUCGAACUUCUCGAGGAAUUAUUUCUUGGUGCAGAAGAGCAGAAGUGAGGGAAACUUUCUGGAAGACAAAACCCGCUCAUAUUACGAACGCCACCCAGUAAAGAAGGCCAUCCGCCAACGCAGUGACCUCACUUUGUCGCACUUUGACCAACCGAGGCGGCUCAGGCAAAAGAUGAAGAAGAACAUGUUCAAAGACAGCGAGAGCGAAGAGAGCAGCUACCAGGAUAAGAUAGAAUACAAACAGCCUUCGUCGAAGUUCGUUCCGACUCGAAUCGACUCUGACUGCAUGGAAGAAAGCGAGUACUCAAUGAUCAACUAUGACGAACGGUCAAGCACGAGUGGCCAGAGCGACAUCGCAGUCAUUCCAGAAACGGAGACUGAAUUGGACGAAACGAGGGUUUUGAAAGCAAUAAACUGACAUUCUUUGUUGAAAAAGUAUAGAUAUCAUUCGGUAAAUGGUACAAUUUCUUUACCACCCCCCGUCACAACUCUUUCAAUUAUCUAAACCGAACGCCGAUUUCAAUCACACCAGGAAGGAUGAAGACUGUGCGGUAUAAAAGGGUGUCAAGGGACGGUGUUGUUAGGUCGAUUG